UACGUAGGGACCAAGCGUUGUUCGGAUUUACUGGGCGUAAAGGGCGCGUAGGCGGCGCGGUAAGUCACUUGUGAAAUCUCCGGGCUUAACUCGGAACGGCCAAGUGAAACUGUUAUGCUAGAGUGCAGAAGGGGCAAUCGGAAUUCUUGGUGUAGCGGUGAAAUGCGUAGAUAUCAAGAGGAACACCUGAGGUGAAGACGGGUUGCUGGGCUGACACUGACGCUGAUGCGCGAAAGCCAGGGGAGCAAACGGG
rnacentral:rRNA from 1 species